rnacentral:tRNA from 1 species
GGAGAUAUAGCUCAGUUGGUAGAGUGCUUGCCUUGCAUGCAUGAGGUCCUGGGUUCAAUCCCCAGCACCACUA